AUUUCCAUUAGACAUUAGGGAUUUCUUUGAAGAACAGAAAGCAAACAUCACUUGUAAAGUGAGGAGCAAGCUAGAGAAUGGAGAGGGAAGAGAAAUGAUCGUUUCCAUGCUGAACUGUCCUGGGAAACAAGGUGAAGAUCACUUCUUUCCAUGAAAAGCUUUGCAGCAACAGGAAGGAAAAUGGGACAUAGGUGAGUGAGAGAGAAAGGAAGAACAAGGCGGAAGGCAGUGAAAG